rnacentral:rRNA from 1 species
UUUAGAUUUAAAUAUUCAAGACUUGAGUAGUAGUAGGUAUGGUCUUGAAACUUAAAGAAUUUGGCGGUAUUUUAGUCUUUUUAGAGGAAUCUGUCCCAUUAUCGAUAAACCACGUUGGACCUUACUUAAUUUAAUUUAGUAUGUAUACCGCCGUUUAAUGAAAAUCUUAUUAGAGGAAUUUUCUUAAUAUAUAAUUAUAUAAUACUUCAGGUCAAGGUGCAGCUUAUAAUUAAGGGGAGAUGGAUUACAAUGUUUUAAAGACAUAUGGAUUAUGGAGUGAAAGUUUUUUAUAAAGGUGGAUUUAAUAGUAAGUAUUUAAAUAUUAUUAUUUUGAUUGAGGCUCUAAAAUGUGU